rnacentral:rRNA from 1 species
GCUUUAGUGGCGGACUGGUGAGUAACAUGUAAGCAAUCUGCCUAUUAGUGGGGAAUAACAGUGAGAAAUCAUUGCUAAUACCGCAUAUGCCAUAGUCAUCGCAUGAUGAUAGUGGGAAAGGAGUAAUUCGCUAAUAGAUGAGCUUGCACCUGAUUAGUUAGUUGGUGGGGUAACGGCCUACCAAGACGAUGAUCAGUAGCCGGACUGAGAGGUUGAACGGCCACAUUGGGACUGAGAUACGGCCCAGACUCCUACGGGAGGCAGCAGUCGGGAAUAUUGCGCAAUGGAGGAAACUCUGACGCAGUGACGCCGCGUAUAGGAUGAAGGUUUUCGGAUUGUAAACUAUUGUCGUUAGGGAAGAUACAAGACAGUACCUAAGGAGGAAGCUCCGGCUAACUACGUGCCAGCAGCCGCGGUAAUACGUAGGGAGCAAGCGUUAUCCGGAUUUAUUGGGUGUAAAGGGUGCGUAGACGGGAAAGCAAGUUAGUUGUGAAAUCCCUCGGCUUAACUGAGGAACUGCAACUAAAACUACUUUUCUUGAGUGCAGGAGAGGAAAGAGGAAUUCCUAGUGUAGCGGUGAAAUGCGUAGAUAUUAGGAGGAACACCAGUGGCGAAGGCGUCUUUCUGGACUGCAACUGACGUUGAGGCACGAAAGUGUGGGGAGCAAACAGGAUUAGAUACCCUGGUAGUCCACACCGUAAACGAUGAAUACUAGGUGUAGGGGGUAUCGACUCCCUCUGUGCCGCAGUUAACACAAUAAGUAUUCCGCCUGGGGAGUACGGCCGCAAGGUUGAAACUCAAAGGAAUUGACGGGGGCCCGCACAAGCAGUGGAUUAUGUGGUUUAAUUCGAAGCAACGCGAAGAACCUUACCAGGGCUUGACAUCCUCUGACCGCUCUAGAGAUAGAGUUUCCCUUCGGGGCAGAGAGACAGGUGGUGCAUGGUUGUCGUCAGCUCGUGUCGUGAGAUGUUUGGUUAAGUCCAAUAACGAGCGCAACCCCUAUGGUCAGUUGCCAUCAUUUAGUUGGGCACUCUGGCAAGACUGCCGCGGACAACGCGGAGGAAGGAGGGGACGACGUCAAAUCAUCAUGCCCCUUAUGUCCUGGGCUACACACGUAAUACAAUGGCAACGACAGAGGGCAGCGAACCCGCGAGGGCAAGCAAAUCCCCAAACGUUGUCUCAGUUCGGACUGCAGGCUGCAACCCGCAAGCACGAAGUCGGAAUUGCUAGUAAUGGCAGGUCAGCAUACUGCCGUGAAUACGUUCCUCGGGUCCUUGUACUCAAGGCCCGUCA